AAGCCAGACUCCUACGGGAGGCAGCAGUGGGGGAUAUUGCACAAUGGGGGGAACCCUGAUGCAGCGACGCCGCGUGGGUGAAGGAGCGUUUCGGCGCGUAAAGCCCUAUCGGCAGGGAAGAAGGAAGACGGUACCCGACUAAGAAGCCCCGGCUAACUACGUGCCAGCAGCCGCGGUAAUACGUAGGGGGCGAGCGUUAUCCGGAUUUACUGGGUGUAAAGGGAGCGUAGACGGCGUCGCAAGUCUGAAGUGAAAGCCCGGGGCUCAACCGCGGAACCGCUUUGGAAACUGCGAGGCUGGAGUGCUGGAGAGGUAAGCGGAAUUCCUGGUGUAGCGGUGAAAUGCGUAGAUAUCAGGAGGAACACCGGUGGCGAAGGCGGCUUACUGGACAGUAACUGACGUUGAGGCUCGAAAGCGUGGGGAGCGAACAGGAUUAGAUACCCCGGUAC
rnacentral:rRNA from 1 species